rnacentral:rRNA from 1 species
GAUGAACGCUGGCGGCGUGCCUAAUACAUGCAAGUCGAGCGAACGGACGAGAAGCUUGCUUCUCUGAUGUUAGCGGCGGACGGGUGAGUAACACGUGGAUAACCUACCUAUAAGACUGGGAUAACUUCGGGAAACCGUAGCUAAUACCGGAUAAUAUUUUGAACCGCAUGGUUCAAUAGUGAAAGACGGUCUUGCUGUCACUUAUAGAUGGAUCCGCGCUGCAUUAGCUAGUUGGUAAGGUAACGGCUUACCAAGGCAACGAUGCAUAGCCGACCUGAGAGGGUGAUCGGCCAAACUGGAACUGAGACACGGUCCAGACUCCUACGGGAGGCAGCAGUAGGGAAUCUUCCGCAAUGGGCGAAAGCCUGACGGAGCAACGCCGCGUGAGUGAUGAAGGUCUUCGGAUCGUAAAACUCUGUUAUUAGGGAAGAACAAAUGUGUAAGUAACUAUGCACGUCUUGACGGUACCUAAUCAGAAAGCCACGGCUAACUACGUG